rnacentral:rRNA from 1 species
GAUGAACGCUAGCGACAGGCCUAACACAUGCAAGUCGAGGGGCAGCGGGGAGUGAAGCUUGCUUCAUCUGCCGGCGACCGGCGCACGGGUGAGUAACACGUAUGCAACCUGCCCGCCACAGGGGGAGUAAACGCUGGAAACGGCGCCUAAUACCCCAUACUAUCGCUAUGCUGCAUGGCAUGGCGAUGAAAACUCCGGUGGUGGCGGAUGGGCAUGCGGCGCAUUAGCUGGUUGGAGGGGUAACGGCCCACCAAGGCGACGAUGCGUAGGGGUUCUGAGAGGGUGAACGGCCACAUUGGGGACUGAGACACGGCCCAAACUCCUACGGGAGGCAGCAGUGGGGGAAUCUUCCGCAAUGGGCGAAAGCCUGACGGAGCAAUGCCGCGUGAGUGAAGAAGGCCUUCGGGUUGUAAACGUACUGUCCUUAUUGAAGAGAGGUAGUAGU